rnacentral:rRNA from 1 species
GCAAUAGCUGAUUGCAUUUAAUUUAAUGUAGUUACUACUUGGUAGUUUAAAUUUCUAGGUAGAAUUAUGAUGAUGACAUUAUCUACCUAUUAGUCUUGACCAAAUUACGUGCCAGCAGUCGCGGUAAUACGUAGAAGACAAGUGUUAUUCAUCUUUAUUAGGUUUAAAGAGUACCAAGACGGUUAAUAAAGCCCAAAAGAAAUGAAUACGGGGGACACAUUAACUAGAGUUAUAUGAAAGGAAGCUAUAAGGUACUGUUGAGUGUAGAGAUGAAAUUUUAUGAUACCAGAUAAUUGGCACAGAUUUAUGCGAAGGCAUCUUCUUAUGUAAUAACUGACGUUGUAGGACGAAGGCUUAGGAAGUGAACAGGAUUAGGUACCCCAGUAAUCUAGGCAGAAAAUGAUGAAUGUCAUAGGUUAUUUAUUAUGGUCUAUAAAUGAAAGUGUAAGCAUUCCACCUCAAGAGUAAUUUGGCAACAUUGGAACUGAAAUCAUUAGACCGUUUCUGAAACCAGUAGUGAAGUAUGUUGUUUAAUUAGAUGAUACACAAAAACCUUACCACAAUUUGAAUAUAUAUAAAAUAUAUUUACAAGCGCUGCACGGCUGUCUACAGUUAAUGUCGUGAGACUAUGGUUAGCUCCAUUAAAUUGACGAAAACCCAAAUUAUAUUUAUAAAUAUAAU